GAUCAUGGCUCAGGUUGAACGCUGGCGGCAUGCCUUACACAUGCAAGUCGAACGGCAGCACGGGAGCUUGCUCCUGGUGGCGAGUGGCGAACGGGUGAGUAAUACAUCGGAACGUACCCUGAAGUGGGGAUAACGUAGCGAAAGUUACGCUAAUACCGCAUAUUCUGUGAGCAGGAAAGAGGGGGAUCGCAAGACCUCUUGCUUUAGGAGCGGCCGAUGUCGGAUUAGCUAGUUGGUGAGGUAAAGGCUCACCAAGGCGACGAUCCGUAGCGGGUCUGAGAGGAUGAUCCGCCACACUGGGACUGAGACACGGCCCAGACUCCUACGGGAGGCAGCAGUGGGGAAUUUUGGACAAUGGGCGCAAGCCUGAUCCAGCCAUGCCGCGUGAGUGAAGAAGGCCUUCGGGUUGUAAAGCUCUUUCGGUGGGGAAGAAAUUGCACAGGAUAAUACCUUGUGUAGAUGACGGUACCCGCAUAAGAAGCACCGGCUAACUACGUG
rnacentral:rRNA from 1 species